CGAUAAAGUAGUAACAACGAAUAGUGAGAAGUCAGCAGAAGUCAUAGUAGGUGGAAACACCGAAGGAC
rnacentral:ncRNA from 1 species